rnacentral:lncRNA from 1 species
GCCUUGGAUGGAAAGUGGGCAAUUGGGUGGGGGGCUGCGGACCCCUUAACGUGGAUUACUUGGUGUGUAUCAGCUGGGCUCAGAAGACCCACGACCUCUUCUCCAUCCUUGGAUUGAUUUGUUCUGCUUAACAGCUGGGUCGCCAAGCUGGCGGUGGAAUCAGAGGUUUCUGGCUGACUCGGUGGGUGCUUUGAACCAGGAAAGGACAAGAAAGAGGAACUCUGAAAGCCACAUGUUGAGAUGGCCUCAUUACAGGAUGGAGAGCACCUGAACCCCCAAGUUAUGGACUAGAAGAAGACAUUUGCCCUGGAAAAUCAUCUGAACCACAUUGGACUUUAUGUGAGGAGGAAAUAAACCUUUAUUAUGUUAAGCUACACAA